UACGUAGGCAGCAAGCGUUGUUCGGAGUUACUGGGCGUAAAGGGUGCGUAGGCGGUUGUUUAAGUUUGGUGUGAAAUCUCCCGGCUCAACUGGGAGGGUGCGCCGAAUACUGAAUGACUAGAGUGCGGGAGAGGAGAGUGGAAUUCCUGGUGUAGCGGUGAAAUGCGUAGAUAUCAGGAGGAACACCGGUGGCGAAGGCGGCUAUCUGGACGGUCACUGACGCUGAGAUGCGAAAGCGUGGGGAGCAAACAGG
rnacentral:rRNA from 1 species